CAGAAUUUUCUGAGCUUGGAAUAUAGAGGGUAGAUGAAGAAAUUAACUUUUUGAAGCACUUGCAGCGAAGACAUGCUUGACAUGAUGUACAACAAUAGCACUCUGUUGCGCUAAGACUACUCCAAGAAAAUAACUGCUUGAUAAGUAUAACGAAACCCAAACCAAAAAGAUACUUUUCUUACCAAAGAAAAUCAGAGUACCAUGAUGCAAUUUAAACAGAGAUGAUGAAGAAUAUAGCCCAAAUCUUGAGGGGAGGCCCCAUUUGCCUAGAACAAAACUCUUUAGCUUAAGGUUUUUCCAGGAUUAAUUUUGCUCUUGCAUACAAGAAACUGUCGCACACAUUUUUCCAUCUGAAACAGAUUUUCUCCAAAAAUUCCCUGGUCAUUGUAUGGUAGCAAGAUGGAGCCAUUAUUAGUGUAGUUGGUCUCACAUUUGAUCCAGCACUCCACCUUUACAAUGGAGGAGUACCAUGUAGCGAAAGAUCUGGCUCUUAUUUCUGUACCAAGUGAUGAUACAUUUGGAUACUUUCUAUCAGGGAAAAAAGUGAGUUCUGAUCACCCAGUUGAUCGAUUCUGUGGUUUUCUGAUCAGGAUAGUACCAUAGAUUGUGUGGUCAGGUCAUCGUAGCCUAUGAAAACUGUUAACUUGUAGUAUCACAAAGGUAAAUAGGCAGCAAGUGGACCCGAGCAGUUCCAGAAAAAUGACAUUCUUAUUAAAAAAAAAAAAAAAAAACCAUAUUGACUUACGGAUGCAAGUGAGGCAAAAUUUCGACAAAAGUGGUCUUCUUAACCCAUUUUUCCAUUAAACAAACAAAGACUGAAAAGCCUAAGAAAAUCUUGUAAAAAGUUUUGUGGGUAACAUAGUCCUGAGUAUACAUUAUUGUUUCCAGUCUCCUUAUUGCAAGUGCCAAUGUAAUGGGAUCAAGAUUGUAUGGUUUUCUAUAAAGCUAACUUAAAGUGCAGUUGUAUUCAUAAAAGCCAAGCAGAAGAAGAGGUCCCAACGAAACCACUCAUAAGAACGUGAAGAUGUCACAAGCCUCUAUUUAGCGGAAAAUUCUACCUAGCAAAAUUUGCCUGCAAUAAUUGACAUCUGAUUACCUCACAAGCUUUAACUGUUGAUGGAAUGCCAUAAUUGACAUAUGUUUAGCGGAAAAUGAAGAUUUGGAUACAGUGGAGCUUCAAUCGACCAGUGUAAAACUAGUUUUUAAUUUAUGCCGAUCUAUUGCUGACCAGAGACCUUACACUGGUCGAUUGAAGCUCCACUGUAUCCAAAUCUUCAUUUUCCUGCAAUACAAAUACAUGUUCAUCUGUUGAAGUGUCAAGCAAAAUUUGCCCACUUGAAAACAUGAAGUGGCUAUUAACUACAUUACCUCUUCAAUCAGCAAAUCCUUUCUCGUGAUCAAACCAAUAACAUGAGAUGUGCGAGGCACCACAAAUAUAUGUCUCAAACCCAGCUGGCGGAAAAGGUUGUAAACCUACACAGUCAGCAAGAAGCGACAUUUAUGAACUCACAGGCCCAAUGCUCAAGGAUCAUAAUCUCCAAAAUGGAAAAGAAACCUUCACCUUUGUCAGAGACAUGUCUUCAGGGACUACAUAAGGAGAGGGAUUUAAAAAUGGUGCUAGAUCUAUAUACAUUUCCAAGUCAUCAGAGCUUAAAUGUAUAUCAUCAAUAGACAAUCCUCUACUGGUAGCAGGUUUGACAAACUCAUUGAAAUUGUGCCUGAAAUUCACAAUUGAAAAUAACAUUGUUCAAAAUUUUCAUAUAAUUGGAACACUAGAGGGAAGAACAUUUGUCAAUUUUUGGCUUACCUAAUAAUCCCAGAUCCCUCACAGGGCAAUGGACUGUGCUGGAAAUCUACUUUAGAGUGCAGAAGCACCAAUAAAUGGCUGUACCAAGAAAUCCAAUUCCAAUUAACCAACACUCUUCUUAUUAUGAAGGAACAGAAUUUACAGACUCGUAAGCACACUACCUGCGCAGCAUUAACCCUAUGACGAGUGUUUCUCCAUUUCUUGUAUGAUCUAUUACCUGAGAGAAAUUUUUAGUUGAAACAUCAGGGAGAACCAUCGAACUAAAUGGAAUGAAGCAGCAUAAGCAAAAAAAAAAGCACUUCCAUACAGGAAAACCAUUGUGUUUGUUGCUCCGCAAGAUAGAUGCUACAUCAGAGACCUUGACAACACGCGGCAAGGAAAUCACCUUCAGCAACAAAGAAAAAAGGAAACAUCGUUGAGUAUUGGAAAAUGAUAUAGGAUAAAAAUACAAAGCUACAAAUAUCGCGUGCACCAUGCAGCUCAAGUUCUUGGUCGUAGAGCAAUUUUAAUAAGCCAUGAUCAGAACCACGAAUCAUUAUCAAAUGCCAGAGGCAGUAAAACUAGUUUUUAAUUUAUGCCGAUCUAUUGCUGACCAGAAAGGCAAAAUUGACAUCUGAUUACCUCACAAGCUUUAACUGUUGAUGGAAUGCCAUAAUUAUCUUGAAACUUUUGUUUCUUACAGAUAUAGGAAACAAAAUAAAUCAUCCAUAACAUAUGAUUCCUUGUUUUCAUUUACUUGCAAAAACAAUAUAAAGCAGAAGGCAUUAACUUAAAUAGUUGGCAAAUACUACAAAACCUACUUGUACAAUACGAUGAAUGACAGUUUUAUCUCAUAUCAAUAACAGUGACCAAAAUACCAGUUUAAGAUAGAGUUCUUCCUCAGGAUAAUUGGAGGAGAAGCCAGCUAGGGGAAUGGGCAGUUAAUGGUUGGUAUAAUAAUAUUCAAUUUCUUGAGCCAAACAGCAAUGGCAAAGAUUUACACUUAAGAAUAUACACCAGAUUGAAAAGCUCAAGUGGGCCAGUAAAAAAUUUGAAAAGUACGAGCAGGAUGCACAUGUGCACAUUCCUAACAUUAGAGUAAUUAUGAAUUAGACUUUUUUCUAAAUCUUAUUGGAACUACAAUUGUGUGGCCAUAUGCAUUGGAACCAGAUGCUGCACGUAUUAAAAUAAUUGUGAGAGUCUUAUUGAUCACUAAAAGGAUGUCCACCUUUUGGCUUCCACAACCCUCUUUCGCUGUCAUUUUGCGCAUCCGGUAUUUAGGUCUUGAUUCUAACAAUGGAAUACCCCUCAACCUGGCCUGCUCUUCAUAGAGACCUUCAUUAAAAGCAUCACCAACAGCCUGCAGCAGAACAGACUUUAGUGUCCUUGCAAAGACACAAACGCAAGUCUUUGCAGUACGAUGUCGAUGUAAGCAUACCUUCGAUAUAAGAAGAACAAGCAUGAUAAGGGGCAAAAGUUUCAAAUUGUUUGUUAUUUCAACCAUAAUGACACAAAGCGACACAGUCAUCCGCAUUGAACCACCAAGGAAGGAAGCAGCACCCAAUAAUGCAUACCUAGAGAAACAGAGAGUAAGUACAUGAAAAUCAAGGAAAAUAACAAUAUACAAAUUUGAUCUAUGUAUAAGGACAACAAAAUGCUUUCUAAUAAGAACACGGUCAGGUAUGACUAGAAAGACAUGAGAAAAUGAAAGUCACAUUAUAAUGGAGGAAGCCCAGCGAAUUGUGCCUUUUAUGGCAUGUGCACUCAAUUAGAAGGAAAAAGUUGAGGUUAGGCCUCUCAUUUGGAGGCUUGUGCAUGCUACCCCUGCACUUGGUUGUGGACAGACGUAAAAUAGCUAAAAGGUGUUGGAUUAUAAUGUCUCAAGUUGCUGUUUUCUGUUUUGUUCUUUUUUUUUUACUCUGUUUUCUGUUCUGUUUUCUGCACUGUUUUACUCUGUUUUUUUUAUUAAAAAAAAACAGCCAAGUUCAAUUUAGUUAUUUAUUUAGUGUUUUUGUUAUUUUCUAGGAAGUUAAUAGCACGUUUGUGUGCAGUUAUGUGUUGCACGUACGUGAGCAGUUUUUGCUUUGUUUAAGUUGUCUUGUACUUGACAGUUUCCUUUAGAACAGACGUAUGCAAGUUUGUGUUCUGUUUCUUUGCGCUUCUCUUCCUCAUAUGAAAAAUAUAGCUUCUGGUUUUCUUUUUUCUUGUUUACUGUUUUGAUCAAUAACAACAGUGGUAUCAGAGCGUGUACGAUCUUGAGGGACUGUGAAGUGAAGCAAGUAUCGAAGUGUAAAGAAGUUAAAGGGUGAUGGAGACAGGGUCGAGUGGUUUCUCUGCGAUGGCUUCUCCAGUAUUUACUGGAGAGAAUUAUCAAGCAUGGGCUGUCAAGAUGACGGCAUUUUUGGAGGGUCAUGAUUUGUGGGAAGCUAUGGAGGAUGAUUAUGAGGUUGCUCCACUUCCAGACAAUCCGACUUUGAAUCAGAUAAAGUACCAUAAAGAGAGAAUCAUAAAGAAGGCCAAGGCAAAGUCAUGCCUGUACGCUGCUGUUUCACCCACUAUCUUCACAAGGAUCAUGAGAUGUGAUUCUGCAAAGGCAAUAUGGGAUUUCUUGAAGGAUGAAUACGAGGGAGAUGAGAAGAUAAGAGGCAUGAAGGUGCUGAAUCUCUUAAGGGAGUUUGAGAGACAGCAGAUGAAGGAUUCAGAGUCAAAGAAGGAGUACUCUGAUAGGUUGGUUGGGAUAGCUGAAAAAAUCAGAGUUUUAGGGACUGACUUGAAGGAUGAAAGGCUUGUUCAGAAGAUCCUGGUGUCUCUUCCAGAGAAGUUCGAGGCCACCAUAGCGUCUCUGGAAAAUACAAGAGACUUACUUGAUAUAAAGCUUGCGGAAUUGUUAAAUGCUCUGCAGGUACAGGAGCACAGAAGACUGAUGAGAAGAGAAGAGUUUGUAGAGGGUGCGCUGCAAGCUAGAGUGAAGUCAAAUGAUGGAGGCAAAGGGAAGAAAUGGAUUCAGUCCAGAGAAAAUGCUGGUGACUCCAAGUUUGUAGCAAAGAAGGAAAUUCUGGUGGGUCUAGCAAAUGGAAGAUGAACAAAAAGCCUUGUCAAUACUGUGGUGGAACUAAUCAUCAGUUUUUUAGAUGUUGGAGAAAGCCUGAUGCUAGAUGCAGAAGAUGUCACAAGUUGGGUCACAUGGAAGCCAUCUGCAAAGAAAAAAAUUACCAGCAAGCAGGAAAAGCCCAGGUAGCCGUGAAUGAAACUGAGGAAGAGCACUUGUUUGUAGCUUCUUUUUCUAAAUCUUCUGUUGGGAAUGAUGCAUGGCUGGUGGAUAGUGGCUGUACCAAUCAUAUGACUGGCAAUUUGAAGCUGUUUAGGAGUCUAGAUAGGUCAGUCAGGUCUAGAGUCAGAAUUGGCAACGGACAAUAUAUCGAAGUGCAAGGGAAGGGUACAGUGGCUAUUGAAGGAAAUCAGGAGGUGAAGCUGAUCAGUGAUGUUCUCUUUGUGCCAAAUAUUGACCAUAAUCUGUUAAGUGUUGGUCAAUUAGUUGAGAAUGGCUAUAAAGUGAAGUUCGAAGGGAAUGAAUGUCUUAUUAAUAAUGCAGAUAGCAAAGAAGUGCUAAGAAUUCCAAUGGAGGACAAGAGUUUCAUGUUCAAGCCACAAGAGAUGCAACAAAUGGCUUUAAAGUGCAAAGAAGAAAAUGCAGAGAUAUGGCAUAAAAGACUUGGGCAUGUUCACAGGAAGAGCAUGUCGUUUAUGCAGAGAAAUAGCUUGGCAGAUGACUUGCCAAGUUUGGAGGAGGAAUUUCCACAGUGCAAAACUUGUCUUCUUGGCAAGCAAGCCAGAUUUCCUUUCAAAGGAGGAGGCUGGAGAGCAUGUGAGAAGCUGCAAUUAGUCCACACAGAUUUAUGUGGACCUAUGUCUGAGUCUUCUCUCAAUGGUAGCAGGUAUUUCAUUACCUUCACUGAUGAUAUGACUAGGAUGAGUUGGAUUUAUUUUCUGCGAGCCAAGUCUGAAGUUGCUGAUGUGUUUGUGAAGUUUAAAGCCUUAGUUGAGAAUCAGAGUGGGAAGAAAAUUAAAAUGCUCAGGUCUGAUAAUGGUUCUGAGUAUACUGCUCACAAGUUUAAGUUGAAUUGUGAGCAAGCAGGAAUUGUGCAGCAGUUCACUGCUCCCUAUUCACCUCAACAGAAUGGGGUCAGUGAGAGGAAAAACAGAAGUAUUAUGGAGAUGGCCAAAUGUAUGAUGCAGGAGAAGAUGUUGCCUAAGAAGUUCUGGGCUGAAGCAGCUAAUACUGCAGUGUUCUUGUUGAACAGAUUGCCCACAAAGGCCUUAGAUAGGUCAACACCUUUUGAAGCCUGGUAUGGUGUUAAACCUUCUGUGAAAAAUUUGAAGGUUUUUGGGUGUUUGUGUUACACUCAUGUUCAUGAGGUCAAGAGGGACAAGCUGGAUAAGAAGGCAGAGCUUGGAAUCUUCAUUGGGUACAGUCUCCAAUCAAAGGCUUACAGAAUUUUUCACCCUAUGACAGGGAAGGUGACUGUAAGCAGAGAUGUUGUUUUUCUAGAGGAAGAUGAGUGGAAUUGGAUGGAAGGAUGGAGUGCAGAAAAGCAGCAGUUCGAAAAACAACUUGCAACAGAUGUAGAGGUUGAUGAAGUUAUAGAUGGAUUGGAAGACAGUGUGGAUGAUUUACCAGUGAGGGGCACAAGGUCACUUGCUGAAAUCUAUGAAAGAAGCAAUGUGGCAAUGCUCGAACCAUCUAACUUUGUGGAAGCUAAGGAGGAUCAGAGGUGGAUUGCAGCAAUGUAGGAGGAGAUUGCAAUGAUCCAGAAAAACCACACAUGGGAGCUUGUUGACAGACCAUCUGAUAAGAAUGUGAUUGGGGGUUAAGUGGGUGUUUAGAACAAAACUUAAUCCCGAUGGUUCUGUUAAUAAACACAAAGCUAGACUGGUGGUGAAAGGUUAUGCACAAAUAUGGGGAGUAGACUAUUCUAAAACAUUUGCUCCUGUUGCACGACUUGAUACAAUAAGGCUACUGUUAGCUAUUGCAGCAGAGAAUGGGUGGCCUAUAUUUCAGUUAGAUGUCAAGUCUGCAUUUCUGAAUGGAGAGCUUGAGGAGGAGAUUUUUGUUGAACAACCUGAAGGCUUUAGUAUUAAAGGGCAAGAAGAGAGUGUAUACAGGUUGAAGAAAGCUCUAUAUGGACUGAAGUAGGCUCCAAGAGCUUGGUAAGGAAAGAUAGAUCGAUAUUUGCAAGAUUUUGGUUUUGUGAAAAGCUUAAGUGAGUUCACUCUUUAUGUCAAGAAGGUGAAUCACAGUGUUGUAAUUCUGUCACUUUAUGUAGAUGAUCUAUUAGUGACGGGGAAUGAUAUGUAAUUGAUAGAGAAGGUGAAGCAAGAUCUAUUUGCAGUUUUUGAGAUGUCAGACUUGGGAAAGAUGGCUUAUUUUUUGGGUUUGGAAGUCAAACAGGCUUCAUAUGAGAUCUUCAUCUGUCAGAAAAAAUACAUGAAAGAAAUUCUAAAGAAGUUUCAGAUGGAAGAUUGUCGAAGUGUAAGCACUCCUAUGGCUGCUAAAGAAAAGCCGCAGAAGAAUGAUGGAAUAGAUGCAGUAGAUGCUUCUAUGUAUAGAAGUUUGAUUGGGUGUCCCAUGUAUCUUACAGCAACCAGGCCAGAUAUUCUAUUUGAUGUGAGUGUUUUAUCCAGGUUUAUGAGUAGUCCUAGUCAGUUACAUUUGAUUGUAGCAAAAAAGGUCUUGAGAUAUCUCAAAGGAACAUUGUUCUUUGGUGUGAAGUUUGAAAACGGUCAGAAGUUUAAUUUGCACGGAUUUUCUAAUAGUGACUGGGCUGGUUCAGUGGAUGACAUGAAAAGUACAUCUGGGUAUUGUUUUAGUUUUGGUUCUGCUUGUUUCUCCUGGUGUUCCAAAAAGCAAGAGAUUGUAGCUCAGUCCACAGCAGAGGCUGAGUUAUAGCAGCUACUGCAGCUGCAAAUCAAGCUUUGUGGCUGAAGAAGAUAAUGAAGGAUUUGUGGUUGAAUUCCAGUGAUUGCAUUGAAGUUAAUGUGGAUAAUCAGGCUGCUUUAGCAAUAUCUCAGAAUCCAGUUUUCCAUGGCAAAACCAAGCAUUUCAAAGUCAAAUUUUUCUUUCUGCGUGAGGUGCAACAAAGUGGCGAAGUUAAGUUGGUCUAUUGCAGAUCUGAAGAUCAACUUGCAGACAUGUUCACAAAACCACUUCAAGCUGGAAGAUUUGAAGUAUUAAGAAAGAAAAUUGGAGUAUGCAGCAACAACUGAUCCAAGGAGGAGUUUGUUGGAUUAUAAUGUCUCAAGUUGCUGUUUUCUGUUUUGUUCUUUUUUUUUUUACUCUGUUUUCUGUUCUGUUUUCUGCUCUGUUUUACUCUGUUUUUUUAUUAAAAAAAAAACAGCCAAGUUCAAUUUAGUUAUUUAUUUAGUGUUUUUGUUAUUUUCUAGGAAGUUAAUAGCACGUUUGUGUGCAGUUAUGUGUUGCACGUACGUGAGCAGUUUUUGCUUUGUUUAAGUUGUCCUGUACUUGACAGUUUCCUUUAGAACAGACGUAUGCAAGUUUGUGUUCUGUUUCUCUGCGCUUCUCUUCCUCAUAUGAAAAAUAUAGCUUCUGGUUUUCUUUUUUCUUGUUUACUGUUUUGAUCAAUAACAACAAAAGGAAGGGGAAAGGGAGGAGUGGUCUGAGAGCACAACUUUGCAGAGAAGUCCACAAGCAGUCAGCAGAUACCGAAAAGAUAGAAGAAGGCCUCCAGUUUUAAUGGAAACAAAACAUAGCAAGUUGGAAUAAGAUGGUAUCUCUCCAAAAUAGGAGUGCAUCUCCGAAAAUUGUCACUUCUUUAACCAUUAAUGGCAUUCAACUUGAAUCACAUGAAAUUUUGUGGACAGCAUCUUAGUAGAUUAAAUCCUGACACAUAUUUCACUGCUAAAGGAGGAGCAAACUGAAAAAUUAGUUGUAAGAUGGAUAGCCUAUAUGAAAAUGCAAACUCUAUUUCCCAUCAUCAUCUCACAAAUUUCCUAAAUCUGUGAAGUCAAAUCAUCAUUUUUAUCCAGCAAAUAUGUCACUAAAGUACAUUCCGCAAAUAGGAUACUUCCCUGAACUGUUGCAUUAAUAUCAAAUUCACUAUAGAUCAAGAACUUCACCCGUUGCCGUGCCAUCACUGCUGUCGAAACCAAGGGAACCAUUGAAACUCCUAAGUGGUCCGAUCAACUCCCCUUUGAUAUUCUAGUACUAAGCAACAAAUUGAUGGGAAAUCCAUUCUUGAAGCUCCACAUUGACCAAUACAAUGGAACUGCAUUAAAUGUAUACUACUAGCGAUUCUAGGGCAAGCAUAUCUUCAUAUGCACAAUCAAAAUACAUAGGAGUUCUGAAAAGCAAUGGCGGCAGGGGAUCCAUCCUACACAUCUAAAAAAUUAAAAAAUAAAAUAAAAGAGUAAGUCAAGACCCAAUAAAUGAAAUCUCUAAUUCUAAGAUAAGAGAUCCUCUUAUCACUUAACUUGAUACCAAUAUAUAUAUGAUCACUGCUAAAGUGUAAAACAUAACUAAAAGGUGGUACGAUGUAAGAGACAAAUUACAUUUCAAUUAUAACAAUAUAUGCAUAAAAGAGAAACAAAGACAUGGAUUUAUCAGCGUGUAGUGACGGUAUGUUUAUUUCCACAUAUGAAGCAAGCAGCUUUAAAAAUAUUCCACCCAAGGCUGUUGCACCUUCUUGGAGUCGGAACAAAAAAAAAUGAUAGAUACAAAGCAAAAUGCUUUACUAGAAAGGUCUACAAAUGAUCGGGUAAUUUUCCUGAGCAAAUAAAGAUAUUGCGAAUCGCGUUAUGUUUCGUCAUUUGAUGAGAUUGGAUGUGAUGGUUACUUGAGAUACAAAAUUUCAAGUAAUGGCAGCCCCACUCUUGUGGUUUCACCAUGGCUGUCGGUUGUGGACUCCAUCGAAUUCACGUUAAGUUGGUCAUCGUAUGUUGUGUUAGAUUAUGAUUGAAACGACAUGCAUGAUGAUUUAUGCUAAAAGUUGAUUUUGAGCGAGAUUGGACAACUAGCUCUACAAGUACUGUCACGCCCCGUUCCUCGGGCGCGCGCCCAUCCCUUACUUGGUCGAUUUAUUUGCGACGUCCCAGGAAGGUCGCCGACCCAUCAUUUAUAUACGCAUGCGGAAGCUUAAUAAAAUCCCCAGACAAUCAAACAAUGGGAUAGAAGAGUAGGAUCAUAUUUUUCAAACCAAGACGAGUCUUUAUAAGCAAACUGGUUAAUUACAAACUUAGGCUGUUUACAAAAUUAACGGCUUAUCAAAAAGGGGACUGUCUUAACAUCCACUAGUCAGACCCAUUUGCUGAUUCUUCAGCCUCCACCUUCCGAACUUUAGGACUUCCGGUCCUCCACAAUCGUCAUCUAGGAACCUGAAAUAUUUUUCCCCAAACUGGGAUGAGACUAUGUCUCAGCGAGUUCUACCCCACUAAGACCCAAUUAGGAAGCUAAUACGCCAUAAGGGCUGCCUAAGCACAACACAGGUCAAAGGGCUUACUUUGGCAUCAGUUCCUUUCCUGCACUUUAGUUCAACUAAUAAUAUCGAUAACUACAGCAAACAAUUACAUUCCACCAAUCAGAUCGACUCAGCGACCGAUCGACUUAAUCGGUUACAUGUCACCACGACCUUUCCCUGGUCGGUACAUUCAAUACUAUUUAUAAAGUCCGACCAUAGUCUAGAACUGCUCACCCAAAGCUGAUAAUAGAUAGCAUAGCUCGCCCAAAGCUGAUAGAUAUAGUAUACUAUGUAUAUGCUCGCCCAAAGCUGAUAGAUCAAGGCCCCUAGGCCAAUUUAGUAUACUAUAUAUGCUCACCCAAAGCUGACAUAUCGCCCGUAGGUCAAUAUAGUAUAUCGGUAUACUGCUCACCCAAAGCUGACAUAUCGCCCAAAGGCCGAUAUAGUAUACCACUCCAACCAUAUAGUCAAUUCAUCAUUUUUAUCAUUCACGAUAAAUAGUCGUGUGUGGGUACACGGUUGGCCUUAGCCAAAAUAUAAUAAUUUUACUUAAAAAUAUCCCACCAAUUUCAUCAGCCCAUUACAUAUUUUUGGCGCUGUAAACCGACGCCCGGUUAUUUCUCCAUCAAUAAACCAAAAUCAAAUAAUUUAGGAAUAAAUCCUAAAUUCACAAUUAAUUCGAUUAAGCACAAAUUAACGCUCAAAUAAAUAAACGGACUGCACUACGAUAAUCAGCACGGAAUUUCAGUCGUCGGCCUUCUAAAUCUUAAUUUCCGAAUUUUAAUUAAUUAUUGAUUAAUUUCGAAAUUUAAUAAUUAAUUACAAUAAAUUCAAUUUAGCUCAAAUCGGAGCUCAAUUAAAUAAACGGUCUUCACCACGAUCAUCAACAUAAAAUUCCGGUCACCGGCUAUCCCGAUCAAAAUUUCCGGAAAAUAAUAAAUAAUUAAAUUUAUUCCGAAAAUUAAAUAUAAUAAUAUUAUAUUAUAUUAUUAUAUUGGUACAAUUUCGAAUUAAUUAUUUAAUUUAAAAUAAUUAAUUAAGGCUUAAACAAGAUUACUUUAAUCCAAACAUUUUCUUAAGUUUAAUUGAUUGUCCACUAAACUAAUCACAUCCCUUAAUCCACUUAACAUUUAAAUAAACUAAUCUAACCACCUAAACUUACUUAGUUUAAUCUAAACACCCCUUAAACGUGAUUAACCUACUAAGCGGGGAUUAGUGAGUUAAACUCACCCUAUUAGCGAUCCGAGCGGCUCAAAUCGACGGGGAUGCCAAGGGGAUCGAUUCACUCCAAGGCGGGCCUAGCUUCCGGGGUCGGGAAGCCGGCCAAAAUGGGCCACAAAGCCGCUGCCAUACCCAUUUUUCUCCUCUUCGUUCGCUGCUGUUUAAGGCCGAGAAAGGGUAGAUCCGAGCUUGGUUGGGGCAUGCAAGGGCCGAGAGGGCUAGGCGGAGCUCCGGCGGGCUAAGGUGGAGGGGUACGGUGGCUCACGGCGGCGGGGACAAGCUUCGGCAGCUCCUGGAACUUGUGGACCGAGACAGACGAGGGCGGCUGGGCUUCGGCCAAGCACGGGCGGGCGAGGAGCAGCGGCCGUGCGCGCGCGAGGAGCGACGAACGGCGACGAUGUGCGGCGGCUCCAGGCGACGUGCGGCUUCUCCUUUGAAAUUUCUAGGUUUGAAAGGCACAACCAGGAGGAAGAGAAGAGCUGGUCGGCCGGCAACAGGAGGGAAGAGAGGGAGGCGGAGGCGCGGCUGGACGUGCGACGGCCUCCAGUGGGCUUACGGCGGCGUUCUGGAGGCUACUCCUCCAGCCUCGCUGGUUUGCUCGAUUCCGUCGAGCAAGAAGAGAGAACGGGGAAGAAAGGGGGCGACGGGGAAGAAAGAGGGAGGAGAGAGAAGGAAAAGGGGGGGGGGCAUUCCUUUUAUUUUUCUCUUUAUUUAAUCUCCCAAAAAUUGGCCCACCAUGACAUCACUAUGAUGUCAUGUUCCACUAUCUCCAAUUUCUCACAAUCUUAGUCCAAUGGGUCCAAUUUCUUUUUCCGCCGUGGCAUAAAAUCUCGUACACUUAAUUCAAUCAAUUCUCAAUCAAUUCCAUCCAAUUGAAGCUCAAUUAAAUUAACCCAUGUGUCCUCAACCUUCUUAUGACUUUUCCCUAUCAAAUGAUCCAACUUGCUUCCCAAAGAUUCGAUCAAAAAUGGCCCUUUGACAAUCUUAAACAAAAACGGCUUUACUUUACUUUUCCGCCAAAAAUCUCGGUUGUAGAAAAAUCUUCCAGAGAUGAGUCGACGUUCCUAAAAUGAAUUGUGACUUGACAGAACUCCCAAUUUCUGAAUUCGGGUUCAAUUUCACGGUUAAUUUCAAUUCGACGCGAAUUUAGUGCGUCCUAAUCUACCGGGUAGCUUUUAGGAAAUUUUUCUUGCAUUUGACCUGUGGUUGAUUAUUCUCAAGCCACAAUGUACAUCUUCGAUACAUUGGCGACUCUCAAUUGUCGUAGAAAUCUCAAGAUUUCAAAUACGGACACGGGGUAUCGAAAUGACAGAAUAAUCGGUCUAGUGUCGAUCGACAAGAAUUGUGCAAUUAGGUGGAAUCACCCACACUUAAUCACAUACCUUUGUCGAGUCAACCUAUCUCCGAUUUCUAAUAGAUCUCACUGUGUCGUAAUGAUCUCUUGUAGAUUUGCACAGUCGAGCAGUCGUUUCCUGAUCGAAUUCUCAAGUCUAAUGCGUUAAAAUUCCUUAACGGCUUCACCUGAUAGACUAGUCAUCCCAUGAGUGAUCAGUUCAGGGAAAAGAACUAUAAAUGCGUCGAUGAAAUGCCCAACUAUUUUGAUCGAAAUCAGAACCUGGAUUUCAGGAUGUCACAAGUACCGUAACUCUAUUUCUCCAAAAAAGCUAAAAAACGCAAGAAUAAUUUUCGAAUCAAAUUCCAUGUGUUCUAAUGGCUACUGAAAUUUAAAAGUACAAACGGAUUUCUGUAAAAAAAAAUUCAAAAUUCGGUAGUGUCGUGACAAGGCGUGCCAUGACUUUUUCAAGCCAAGUUUUAGGGUACUAGGUGUAAUUCCCCCAAGUUGAAGGGCUGAAUUGUUAUUUUACCUAGAUAUGGAAGGAAUUGAACCUAACUGUCUUUAUAAACUGAAAUUUGUGGUUCGAUUUGAUUCAGAUUACCGGUCUUCAAAUCUAAAUUAGAAGAGUUGAAUGGUACUAUGGAUACAAAGAUGAUUCAUAAUAAUGAGAUAUUCUUUAACUCGUGUUAUGAUGCGAAAAUUCUUUAAAUUGUAGGUUUCUUUCUGCACCAGUACUUCAAUACAAUGCCCAAUUUCACAACGUGAUGCCCGUGGUGCACCCCGAGUUUCGGGCCUGCGAAACGACGUCUCCCAAGGCGAUAUCGCAGCCACCACUGCUUCUUCCGCAGUGUCCCACGUCAUUGCCAAGCUGGUCUGAAAGUCGACAUCAAUGUGCCUCGCAACCUGGUGAGCGUACAGAUCCCCUCGCCGUCGGCCAUCCCUGCAAGGCAGAUGGCCAUUAUGCGGAGAAAGAUUGACCAGAAGGUCUUUUCAAUUCGCCAGAUUCCGUUACUUGGAGACACAUCUAGUAGAAUUUAAUUGAAUGAUUGAUGACAAAUUUCAUGCCCGAGGCAUUACAUCACAGGGCCCAAGAUCCCAAAUUCGUGAUCUUCUGUCUUUUUUUUUUUUAACUGCUCACAUUUAUUUACAUUUUCCGCAAGACAAAUGAGAAGUAUUAUGAGCCACCCGGCAUCAGUGUAUGUUGAGACGAGCUGCCACGACCGUCAUUUAUCCUUUGAUGACCUAGUCAUCGUCCUCGUCAUCAUCAAUCAUGUACCGCUUCCAGAACCAAUGCUGCUUCCAUACUCUCUCGACCAUCAAGUCCACAGGCACGCCCUUCGUCUCGGGCAAUAAGAACAAUGCAAAGAGCCCCAUGACCAGGAUCCAAGCAGCGAAGAAGAAGAAGAUGCCGGCCUUCAUGUGGCACAGCAUCGACAGGAAGGCCUGCGCGAUAAUGAAGGUGAAGAGCAUGUUGGAGCUCACGGCGAAGGAGAAACCAGCCGUCCUUGUCUCCAGAGGGAAGGUCUCGCUCGGAAUCAGCCACCCGAGCGGACCCCACGACCAUGCGAAUCCCAUCACGAAAACGCACACCAGUACCACCACGACUAUCGCCUCGGUGAAGUCGAGAGACCCCGUUGGCUUCAGGUGUAGUAGCAAGAGCACUCCUAUAAUAAUCUGCAACGAGGAGGAAAAUUAUAUGGAUUAGAAAGUAUAAUGCAUCAGAUCAUCCACUCCUUCUAAUUGAACAGAAUUAUAAAAGUUUGAUGUGAUUUUCAGUCGAUCGGGAUAGAAGAAACAUACGAAGACAAUGUGAAUUACCUGAGUGAUGAACAUCUGGACACAAGCCUCAAGGAGCAACACCCUCCGGCCAGCCUUGUCCACCGAGUAGAUCGACACUAACGUGCUGAAAACGUUCACGAGCCCGGUGAUGACCGUAGAGAGCAGCGCAGCAUCGUUCCCAAACCCAACUGUCUGGAACAGGACGGGUGCGUAGAACAUGAUGGCGUUGAUCCCGGUGAACUGCUGGAACACCUGCAGCAACAUGGCUAUGACGAGAGGGGGCCUGCUCGACGGCCUCAUGAGCUUGCGGAACGGAUGCUUCACUCGCCUUGCGGCCUCACUCGCGGCAACGAUUGAAUUGAACUCUGCAUCGACAUUAUUGGUGCCGCGGAUCCUCCUCAGGGUGGCCUUCCCUUGGUCGACCCGGUUGCGCUCGAUGAGGCUGGUCGGAGUCUCGCAGAUGAUGAAUGAACCCACGAGGAGAAUCACGGCUGGGACGCCGGCCAAGCCGAGAGAGAUCCGCCACCCGUGAGGGUGAAUGUUGGAUGUGAAGUAGUUGAUAAUGCCCGCGAUGAGGAUUCCGAUUGUAAUGAAGAGUUGGAAGCAAAUGUUGAGAGCUCCUCUGAUUCUGGCAGGAGCUAAUUCGGAUAGAAACAGAGGCACCGCCUGAUUGCCGAACCCAACACCAAAACCGAGGAUGAUUCUGCCGAAGACAACCAUCGCAAUGUUGACGCCGCCGGCUUGGAAUCCGAUCCCCGCGAUGAACAAGAAAGACCCGAUCUGCAACGUCGUCCUUCGGCCAAAUUUGGAGCACACCCAUGAGGCUACAAAGCUGGCUACGAGAGCAGCAAUGUACAGCGAAGAUGUGAACAACUGGAGGUACUCGUUGUCGUAUUUACAGUAGUUGUCCUCGUGCGCGCGCUUCUUUUUCUCGUACACGGUCAUGAAGAAUUUCUUCAAGAAGUCAUCCAUGGCAGUCACUCCACCUGAAAUUCCAAUAAAAUCCACAUAAGCAUUUGGAAAAGUGGGUAAUUUUACAAUGACUAAUACAUUUUGUACUUGGAAUUCAUAAACUAGCCACUCACAAGUCGAAAUGCACUAAUAUACUAUCCUAUACCAGAGGCAAAAAUGUGAUACGAUCUUUUUUCUCCUGGAACAAAAAAAAAUUCUAUCUGGGCUCUUUCCAUCGUGUAUCAAUCUUACAAAAGAUUUCCAUUUCUCCUACCUAAAAUUCCAAUGUCGUAUCCGAACAACAUCCCUCCGAAGGCCGCGAGGAUCACGCACACAAUGACGUAGAAAGUUAUCUUCCCAUCAUGCUCGGGCAUUUGGCCUCCAUGGCUCACGACAAUAGCCGGCAUUUUCUCUAGCCUUCUUUUUGGGUGAAAAAGAAGGCGAAAGGGAGAAGCUUAAUGAAAACGUAUCUGGACAGAACAAAGAUGACCAGAGUGAAGAAGCAGAGGGUGAAGAUUGAAGAGCUUCAGAUUUUGUCCGAAUACGAAAUCCUCGUGUGCAUUGCAUGGGGUAUUUAUAACACGUCAAGAAGGCUGGGAAAGGCUAAAUCAAGAUUAAAUGACAACUAAUGACUAUCUGAUAAUGACGUGGUUUUGCUCUUGAUUAGAUAAUCAUCCCUUAAGUGUCGGGCUUUUGCAAGUUAGUUUGAACCGAGGGAGACCUGAUUAUCGCGGAAGAGGUUGGGGACGUUCAAUGAGAAUGCUAAAAAGAGAAAUUAAUCAUUCAUGGGAAUGGAAAGUUUUAUCGCUUCGAACAGCCAAAAUCAAGAUUGACACCGAAGAGCACAUUCAUUUUUGGUUUGAGUUUUCCUGGGGAUGAAAGAGUUCAUUGUCUAAUUUAAGUGCAGACUCAGACUUAACCCUUGAAUGUAUAAACAGAAAUAAGUUGAAGAGUUAUUGAAAACCUGAAUUAAACACUUAUCUGGAUAAAAAAUUUUAGCUUAGGAUGCGUCUGUUUGGGGAACAUUUCAUGAAAAAGGAAAAUAUUUUCCCAAAAACCAUUUUUUAGGAAUAUUGUUAGUUUUUCUUUGUUUGGAGAUAUAUGACCAAACAUGUUUUUAGGUGUUUGGAUCUCAUUUAGAAAAUGAUUUCGAUAUUAUAACUUAAUCUCAAAAAAGAAAAUUUUAAAAUUUUUAUUUAUUUGUUCUUUUUUCUCUUCUUUCUUUUUCCUUCUUCCUCCUCCACUUCCACUUAUCACCAGGCCUUGGUGAUGGCCAUGACAGGCCACUAGUGCCAUCGCCGAGGCUUGGCAAGGGCAGACCUAGCUGGUCUCAGAUGAGGUCAAGCUUACCGCGAUGAGGCUAGCAAGCUUGACCUUGCUGACUCACGCUGGCUUGCACCUGUGGUUAGUCACUGAGCAGAGGAGGAAGAAGGAAAAGAAAAGAAAAAAAUUUAAAAAAAAAUUGAUUUUUAAAUAAAACAAAAAAUUGAAUAUUAAAAAACUCAUGAUGACCAAUUUUGGAAAAUUUCGCUUUCGUAGGUUUAGGAAUUCACUUUUUUUAAUUUUAUGCAUGAAUAUUUUUUUUAACCGAAAAGUGUUUUUAGUUGGCUAAUUAUUUCGGUGAACCGAACGAAUGAAAGUUUGGAAAACAAAUUAUGAGAAAUUAGUUUCCCUCAAAUAAAUGCACCCUUAGACUCUAUUACUUUAAUGGAAAAUGAAUGAAAUAAAAAAAAUUCUUACAAAAAUGAUAACUUGAAUCGUUUAUAAAAUUGAAUUAAUGAAAUAUAUUUUCACCGUCCACGAAAAUGUUUGGACAUAAAUUGUUGUUGAAAAUAAAAAUAUUUUUCAUUAAUUAAUUUUUUAGAGCAAUACAAGCGAUCAUUUUUAGGAAUUUUUUUUUUUAAAAUUAUUCAUUUUCUACUAAACAAACGGACCUCGCAAUUAAGGUGAAGUAAUGAUGGUGGUAAGAGUUUUCAAAUAGGUUUAAGUUGAGGGAUGGAUAUUGCAUGUUGCCAUAAAAGAGCCCGAUAAUAAAAUAAGUUGGUAAGUUGGUAAGUUGGUUUAAAUAAACGAUAACAUCAAAAUGACUAGAUAUAAGUCCAUAAGUGACUUAAGUAAUAGUUCAUAACUUGGGACCAAUGUUGAAACUCAAAUUAUAUUUGGGUAUUCAUUUAUUACCAUGAAAAACUUCAAACCCGUACACUUGUGAUAAAUUUACCAAAAAUUAACUUGUGUACCACAAAAAAUUACAGACUAGUACAUUUGUGACAAAUUCAUUCUCUAACUUCAAACCCAUACACUUGUGAUAAAUUUACCAAAAAUUAACUUGUGUACCACAAAAAAUUACAGACUAGUACAUUUGUGACAAAUUCAUUCUCUAUUAAUUUUCAUUAAAUUGGAUUGAUACAAACUAGUACAUUUGUGACAUACAGAAGGUAAAAAGCCAAAUUGAUAUAUCCAAUUCAAUAUUGACAGUAAAAUUUAAUGGAAAAUAACCUAAGGUAAAUUUAUUAGAGGUGUACCGGUUUAGAGUUUUUUAUGGUUAAAAUAUUAGUUUAGGGUAAAUUUUUUACAGCUAUAUUAAUUUGGAGUUUUUUUUUAUGAUAUUAACCCUUGGGUAUUUGAUAUACAAGUUGGUAACUUCAAAAUGUCAAUAAGCUGGAUAUAUAAAAGUUGUAAGUUGUUACAAAAGCUAGUAAUUUCCGAAGUGCACCAAUGAGACUGAUGACCAAAAAAUGGUCAAUAGCUUAAUCGGCAAAAAGGUUAGUAGGCAACUUGCACAAGGUUGAUAAUUUUACUUAACAGUUGGUGACUUUAAAACGUCCUUAAGCUACAAAACAAAGAUCGGUAAGUUCUUACAAAAGUUAAUAAGUUCAUAAUGACAAAAUAGACAUAUAUAUGGCAUCAAAUAAGAAUCAAAAAGUCCGUAAGCAAGUUAAAUAAGGUUGGUAACUUUAUAUAAGAGCUAGUAAUUUGAAAAUGUCAAUAAAGUCUUGCAAACUUUUACAAAAGCUGUUCAUUUUAGAAACAACAAAAUAUAUGUUGAUAAGUGAUUCAAAUAAGAGUUGAUGACAUAAAACAACUGUGUAAUUUACCUGAGAAAGUAUCAUUAGAUAACUCAAAUAAGAUUGGUAAUUUGAUAGAAGAGUUUUUUUUUUUUGGGUGACCGAGGAACCACCGGAGACCCCUUUGGAGUCACACUGCCCUUCGAUGCCCGGUGGCACUGUGGGAACGUCGUCGCAAGCCACUAUUUAGACGUAAACCUCAGGGGAGACUGGCCCAACAACCCACCGCUGGGGCCCUCCACUUAAAUCACGGAAUAGAAGAGUUGGUACUAUAAAACAUCAAUAAUUCAUGAAAAUAAAAAUUGGUGAGUUCUCAUAAUAAUGGCGAUUUCAAAAUGACCAAUAUAACCCAAAUAGGAGUUGAUAAUCUAAAAUUAUUUUGUUACUUUAUGGGAAAAAAGUCCAUAAGUAACUCAAAUUAAGCUUAGUAAUUUGAUAUAUAAGUUGCUAACUUUAAUUAGUUAGCCAUGAAAGACAAUCAAAUAAAUGAGUACUUGUUUCUCACUCUUUCCCGCUAAGAUGAAAUUUGGUAAGUAAAUAUAAUAAGUAUUGAUGACUUAAAAUUAAUCGGUAGCUUAAUUGAGAAAAGUUGACAAGUAACUCAAAUAAGGUUGGUUUUCAUGUAACAGUUGGUAACAGAACAUUUAGUAAGCUACGCAAAUAAAAACCGGUAAGUCAUUAUAAAACUGUUGGAGAAAUCUUCUUGAAGUGUUUUGAAGUUGACAAAACAAAUUAGAAUUUGUGAGUUAAAGGCUGCUGGUAACUUAAUUAGAAAAUUUGUUUCAUCUCUCUCUAAAUUUUAAUCUUUUUUCCUCAUUGACAGUCUCUAAUCCGUUGAAGAAAGGUUAUCCAGAACUGGAUGUUUCGUUAAGGAUUUAACCUUAUCAUCCGGAGAAGAUUUACUCUCCCGAUCUAAUUUUAGAUUUGGGAGUUUUGCUCCUCCGAUUUUAUAUUUGGGAGUUUUUAUUUCCAAUCUAACUCUAGAUUUAGGAGAUUUAAUGAAUAAGUGCUCUACUUCCAAUUUAAAUAGUAUUCACAGUAGCUUUGGUAUGCUCGUUCAACGUGUUUUCGUUAGAAACUUUGGCAGCUCACACUUGCUAAAGGACUUGCUCUCACAAGUAAUAUAUCUAAGCUUGUUCAACAUAUUUAUGUUUAUAAUGUCUCCACAUAGUGAUGGUGUUGGGGACAUUGAAUCUAGGCGCACAUCGCCAUAAUGCAAAGUUGUAAUUAUAGUUGGAGAUACCGACGUGUGCUCAUCACCAAUAAUGAUAUAUAAUUCGGUGAUUGGCAAUCGAACUUUUUACUUAGAUGCAGUCACAGAUCUGUUCAUGAAGGACAAGCAUAUGAUCAUCUCUAUCAAUUAUGCUCUGAUGUUGUACUUUCAUUUUUGGUUUUUGGUUUGUUUUGGAGCUCUACGAGUUUGCCUUGUUAUGGUGACCUUUGAGAUUUCCUAUGAAUUUUGUCAUGUGUUAUUUUAGCAAUGAAUUGAAAUUUAUUUUGACCCAAAAAAAUUAAAAAAAUUGAUAAGCAAUUCAAAUAAAAUUCAGUAUAAAUUGAGACAUCAUUAAGACACGCCAAUUGGUAAGUUACUGAAGUUUAUAAUUUGGGACAACGACGUAUAUGGUCCUUAAAAUUUUCUUUGAUAUUGAAUAUGAUCAUGAGAUUUUUGUUCAAUUUAGUACUUGAAUUAUAAAGAAAUACACCAAAUGUAGUCAUUCGGUUGAAAAUAUUAACACUGUAAGCUAACGUUAAUUUCGAUGUGCUAUGCUCCACAUGGCCUACAUGUAAGAUCAACGUCCUCUCUCUCUCUCUCUCUCUCUCUCUCUCUCUCUCUCUCUCUCUCUCUCUCUCUCUCUCUCUCUCUCUCUCUCAUAUUUUCGCCCAAAAAGAAAAAAAGAGGGAAUGGAGUAAUAUUUAUUAAGAUGACAAAGCUGUUGAAAAAUAGAUCACCAUCAUUUUCAGUAUAUAUUUUUUUCUUUACAAGGCUAUAUAUACAUAUACAUACAAGUACUGCUAGGGUAAUAAUCACCUAUUAGGUAAAAUAUUCGCUUUCUUUAUGCAUUACCCCCACAAAUCAACUCGCACAAAUAUAAAUAUUUUCUUUCUAUACAUAUCACUCCUACAAAUCAGCUCAUGCCAACACUCCCCCUCAAGUUGGUACAUAAAUGUCGCUAAUGCCCAGCUUGUCAAGUGAGCUGUAGAAGGCUCUGCUCGAGACUGCCUUUGUCAAUAUAUUUGCUAGUUGAUCUUUAGACCUCAUAAACGGGAAUUGAACUAUCUUUGCAUCCAAAUUCUGCUUAAUAAAAUGAUGAUCAACCUCAAUGUGUUUGGUCCGAUCAUGCUACAUAGGAUUAUGUGAUAUGUUAGUAGCUAUCUUGUUAUCACAAAAGAGCUUCAUCUCGAAUCUAGAGGAAAUCCCAAUCCAGACAUCAGCUUUCUAAGCCACAAAAGCUCACAUAGCCCUUUGGCCAUCCCUCUAAACUCUGCCUCUGCACUCAACAAAGCCACCACUUUCUGUUUCUUACUUCUCCAAGUGACCAGAUUCCCCCCCACAAAUGUAAAAUACCCUGAAGUUGACCUCUUGUUGUACACACUCCCUGCCCAGUCUGCGUUUGUGUAACCUUCAAUUCCAAGAUGACCAUUCCUCAGGAAUUUUAACCCUCUCCCUGGAGAUGCUUUCAAAUACUGAAUUAUUCUCACCACAGCAUUCAUAUGGUCUUCACUAGGAGCAUGCAUGAAUUGACUUACCAUACUUACCGCAUAUGCAAUGUCUGGACGUGUAUGCGAUAAGUAGAUUAACUUCCUCACUAACCUUUGGUAUCUCUCCUUGUUUGUUGGUACUUGAUUGGGAUACUCUCCAAGUUUAUGAUUCUCCACAAUUGGGGUAUCUGCUAGCUUACAAUCUAGCAUCCCUACUUCUGCCAACAAAUCUAGUACAUACUUCCUUUGAGAUAGGAAUAUUCCCCCUUUUGAUCUUGAUACCUCUAUUCCCAAAAAAUACCUUAGUUCUCCCAAGUUUUUCAUUUCGAACUCUCUAGAAAGCCUCCUUUGGAGUUGAGGUGAUUUCUUUCGCGUCAUCCCCUAUAAUGAUUAUAUCGUCAACAUAGGUAAUCAAUGCAAUUAUCUUCCCUUCUUGUCGUCAAAGAAACAAGGUGGGAUCCGACUCACUCUGUCUGUACCCACACUUUUUCAUUGCCACACUGAACUGACCAAACCAAGCCCUUGGUGAUUGCCUCAAACCAUACAAUGACCUUUUCAAUUUGCAGACCACAUCUGGAUGUGAGGAAGACUUGUAUCCUGGUGGUACAUCCAUAUAAAUCUCCUCCUCCAAGUCAACAUGGAGGAAUGCGUUCUUCACAUCAAACUAAUAUAGUGGCCAGUCUAAAUUAAAUGCAAGAGACACCAAAACUCGAACAGUAUUAAGUUUUGCAACAGGAGAGAAAGUCUCUUAGUAGUCAACUCCAUACGCCUGCGUGUACCCCUUUGCUACCAAUCAUGCCUUGUAUCUUUCGAUGGACCCAUCCGCCUUAUAUUUGACAGAAAACACCCAUUUGCAUCCCAUUGUUUUCUUUCCCUCAGGUAAGUCCAUCAAUUCUCCCAUUCUAUUUUUUUGCAAUGCCUUCAUCUCUUCUUCCAUAGCCUGAACCCACUGUGGAUCCUCCAAAGCUUCUUGUACUCCAUUCAGAAUUUGAACCGAAGAUACAGCCAACAUGAACUGCUUCAAUGGUUUAGAUAACCUUCCUGUUGAGACAUAAUUUGUGAUGGAAUAUUUCAAUCUCCUUUCUCCAGCAUCUGGUGAGUAUCGAUUUGGGGGCUUUCCCCGAUAAUGCCUAGUAGGUAAUUUAUAUUCCACUGACAUAUUAGAUUCAUCAAACAAACCAGAAGCAAUAGAGGAGAUUACCUUAGGAAAAUCCUCACGAACUUGGUCUGCUACUGGAGGGGAAGGGGACUGUUCAACUUGUUCACGUGUGGGUAUUUGGCCCUUUGUCGAAUCUUGCGAGGCUUCUGUAGCUACAUUUGUCGCAAAUUCACCAUCACUUGCACCAUAUGUCACCUGCUCAACAGUUCCACCAUUAACACCAGUCCUGCCAGCACCACGGUUGCUCCAACAUCAGUCAGAGCCUACCUAGCCCCGUUAUCACCAGUGUUGGAGCUAUCAUCGACACUACCACCACCCCCAACAACCGCGUCUCUUCCUUCGGGUAUAACCCCAGCAAUAAUCUCCCACCAAUUCUCCCUUUCUAGCCAAUUCUCCUCCUGAAAGGUAAAAUUGGUACUCUGGUUAAAAAACUCUCCUUCGACAAAUGUGACAUCUAUAGUCACAUAAGUUUUUUUAGUAGAUGGGUUGUAGCAUCGAUAGCUCUUUUGAUGAGUACCAUACCCCAAGAACACACACUAUAAAGCACAUGAAUCAAGUUUGGUAUGUUGGUUCUUUAGAAUGUGAACAAAUGCAACACAUCCAAACAUACGAGGAGGAAUUGUCAAGACUGAUGGCAAUGGGAUAAAUGCAGAGAGUGCUUGUAGAGGCGUACGGAAAUCUAGCACUUUCGAGGGCAUUCGGUUGAGGAGAUGCACCGCCGUGGCAACAACAUUAUCCCAAAAACGUGAAGGAACAUGUCCCUCAAUUAAGAGGGUUCAAGCAAUCUCGAGAAUAUGGUGAUUCUUCCUUUCGGCCACUCCAUUCUAUUGUGGAGUUUGUGUACACGAGGUCUCAUGAAUGAGACCAUGUUGCUGAAAGUACUCCUUGAGAUGUCGAUUCACAUACUCUCCGCCAUUAUCACUUCGAAGAACUUGUAGCUCAGCAUCAAACUGUGUUUGAACCAUCUUGUGAAAUACUUUAAACACAUUAACCACUUCACCCUUAGUUUUCAUCAAGUAAAGCCAAGUCAUAUGCGUGCAAUCAUCAAUGAAUAUAACAAACCACCGACAACCCGAGAUAGUAGUAAUAGGAGAAGCACCCCACACAUCAGAGUGAACUAACGAAAAAGGCACGUUAUUCUUAUUCCAACUUAUGGGAAAGGAAACACGGUGGCUCUUAGCCAAAAUGCAAGUCUGACAAUGGAAAUCCAACUCUUUUAGAUCCAAAAAUAAUUCAAGAAAUAGCUUUUUCGUAUAGCCAAACAAAGGAUGUCCAAAUCGUCGAUGCCAAAGCCAAAUCUGUUUUUCUUUAUUGCUAGGUGAACCCCGGACUUGAUGCACACUUCCAAACUUGAGAUCAUCUAAGUAAUACAGCGCCCCCCCCCCGGUUUAGUACCAUGUCCAAUGAUCUCCUUCGUGAGGAUAUCCUGGAAAAGAUAGAAUUAAGGAUACAUUAGAACAAUACAAUUCAAAUCUUCAGCGAGCUGUCCAACAUAAAUUAAUUUCGUGGUCAAUGACAGGACAAGUAAGGUGUUAGGCAAUGACAACUGAGGGGAAACCGCAACCACACCAGCCCAUGUCAUUGGGUAUGUAUUCCCAUUUGCAUUUGAGAUACUGCAUCGUCUUGGUUUUGUAAUGCUCACAAAAUCAUCUCGGCUAAAGGUCAUAUGCUCCGUAGCCCCCAAAUCGAUAACCCAUCCAUCACAACUACUGUGAUUAGGGAGAACCAGCGCACAACCACAAUUACCUUGGAUAUUACAUGAAUUGGAUGUAGUCGGUUGGUCUUGAAUUUCAACUUUAGGCACCAAAGACAGCUGAGAUUCCAUCUUAGCAAAAAAAAACCUUCCAUUUUCCACUUUAGUACCCCCUGUCAGCUUGUUUUCACGCCUUCAAUUCCUUCCACCACUCCGGAUAGCCAUGGAGCUUAAAGCAUGUCUCUCAAGUAUGCUUAGCAUUCCCACAGUGUGAGCAUCCUCCAAAUGAAAUUGUAGUUUGUGAACUGCUAUUCGUCUGUCCACCCCCUUGCGUAGCUCCUGAUUUAUUCAUUUGUAGAGUUGGCAUUACUAGUGAUUCUCGGACACCUGUCUUGCUUCCUCGUGCCACCAUGGCAACAGACCCAAACUUGGAAACAGUAUGGGUGAGCAUCACUGACUGUCUCGUAUCCUCCCUACGAACCUGUGCAUAUGCUUGCUCGACAGUUAGGAAUGGUUGCAUUUAGAGAACAUCCGCUCUCACUUUGUCUAGAUGAUCGUCCAACCCAUCAAGGAAGACAUACACUUGGUCUUCCCGAAUGGCAAGACUGUACUACUCAAUAUCAGUUGGGCAUGUCAUUGGGUUUGGACGAUGGAAGUCGAUCUCCCUCCACAAACCUUGAAGAUUAUUGUAAUAAGCCUCAAUUGUCUCUCCACCUUGUCUCAUCCGAGUCACCCGCCUCUUCAAGUCAUAAACUUGGGAGGCAUCACUUCCAUCAAAGAAGGUUGUUGCAACAGAGUCCCAUACCAUCUUCGCAUUUGGGAAGCGAAUAAAAUUUCCUAUUAACGCAGGAUCCAUCGAGUUGAUUAGCCACCCCUUCACAAUCGCAUUCUCAGUCUUCCACUUUCGAAAUUGAGGAUCGGUAGGUGAGGGCUGAGGGAGAUCACCAUUAAUAUAACCCAACUUGUCUUUACCGGAGAUGAACAUCUCCACCACUUGAGACCACAAUCCAUAAUUUGAUCCAUCCAAUUUCACUGAGAUUUGUGCAGUGGAUGGCUCCUGGGAUUGUGUUGAUACCUGAGUCGAACUCUGAGUCAAAAUCUGUGUCAGCUUCAUCGUAAGAUUCUCUAGAAGAGAAGCGGUUGUUGAAUUCUCCCCUUGGUCUUGAUGAGGUACCUCAUCAGUUAGCUUUGUCAUGGUUGCCAAUCACAAUUCCUUUGCAAAGGAAUUCCUGGUCAGGUUAGAUUAGUGCAACAACAGCACAAGUCAAUGCUGCGGCAAUGAUCUAAUUUGGUCGGUGCGGCGGCAGCACAAGGAAAAACCUAAAGUUGCAGCGGGGAUCUGAUCCAAUGGAAAGAGUGGAAAAAACUAGUGUUCUUGCUCUGAUACCAUGUUGAAAAAUAGAUCACUAUCAUUUUCAGUAUUUUUUUUUUCUUUACAAGGCUAUAUAUUACAUACAAGUACUGCUAGAGUAACAAUUGCCUAUUAAGUAAAAAAUUCGCUUUCUAUAUGCAUUACCCCCACAAAUCAACUCGCGCAAAUAUAAAUAUUUUCCUUUUAUACAUAUCAUUCCUACAAAUUAGCUCACACCAACAAAAGCAACAUAGCAGUCCACAAUCCCAAUAACCACUGACAUGAUAAUUCCAACUAGAAAUAUACAAAUGAGGUGGCUUUACAUUUAAUGGAAGGACUACAAAAGUUGAGGGAUUAUGUUAAGCCUCAAAGACAACAUUAGACAUUAAACAAAACUUUGGGUGCAACAAACUCAUAUCCUAGAACUAAUUGGUAACUUCCGCUAAAUAAAGUGGCGUGUAGCUUAAAUAAGACUCGUAAUUUUAAAGAAGAAUUAGAGAUUUUAAAUCGUUAAUGAGCUAUGCAAAAAAAACAGUGACAAUUACUUCGUGUAGAUAAUAAUUUCGAGACGACCAAACAAACAAUGAUAAUAUGAUAAGAGAGGUAUCAUUCAAUACGACUUUUUUUACGAAGAAUAUGGUUGUUAGAAAUUUACUGACAAGAAAAACAAAAAUACCUUCUUUUCUCAGCCGAAACGCCAUAAUAGUGCGGUAGAUGAUAAGGAAAUCCUAAGUUUAACGUCUCCCUGCUUUGGACCUAUAAUUAGAGAUCAUCCGCUUCUAGAACAUGCGUCCUCCUUUUUAGCGGUUAAUUAAGUACAAUGCGCAACUUAGGGUCUUGACAUGAUUUUAGCGUUUCAUACGCUCUUAGCUUUGUUCUGGAAUGCGAUUAUGCAUAAAGGCGAGAGUAAGAUUCGAGUGGGUAGCCUCUAAAUUCGACCAACAUCUCGAGAACAUUAACGAUGUUUUGCCACAAUGCAACCCCUUCUCUCGAUCUAUUUUGACAAAGCGAACAAGUGUAGCAAUCCAGCCGAUUUGGGUGCAUGAUAUCACGAUUCAUUCGAAACUACUAUGGAUUAAACAUAGUGCAAUCUCCAACAUCUCACGCGAACAAUAAGGUGCCUAUUAAGAAAGAAUUGAACGAGGUGUGUACACCAACUUGUCCAAGGAAUAAGGCUAUAGAAGCACCCGUAUGAACAAGAGGAUCCUCCUUUGCAGGAGCUAGGCCACCCCCGACAGAGCCAACGAUCCCGAAUGUCUGUGGAUAUUCGACCAAACAUUCCGUGACAAGGCAUUACAUGACAUGGCUCAAGAUCGAAAAAUUCACGAUCUUUUCCAUGUUUUUUUUUCUUUGGCUGCUCUCGCCACCGUUCCGCUUGACACGUAUCAUGUACCACUUCCAGAACCAAUGCUGCUUCAACACUCUCUCCACCAUCGAGUCCACGGGCACGCCCUUCGUCUCAGGCAAUAAGAACAACGUAAAGAGCCCCAUGACCAGGAUCCAAGCGGCGAAGAAGAAGAAGAUGCCGGCCCUCAUGUGGCACAGCAUCGACAGGAAGGCCUGCGCGAUAAUGAAGAUGAAGAGCCUGUUGGGGUUCACGGCGAAGGAGAAACCAGCCGUCCUCGUCUCCAGAGGGAAGGUCUCGCUCGGAAUCAACCACCCAAGCGGACGCCACGACCAUGCGAAUCCCAUCACGAAAAUGCACACCAGUACAACCACGACUAUCGCCUCGGUAGGGUUGAGAGACCCUGCUGGUUUCAGGUGUAGUAGCAAGAGCACUCCUAUAACACUCUGCAGCAAGGAGGAAAAUUUUAUGGAUUAGAAAGUAUCAACGCAUUGGAUCAACCUCUCUCCUUCUAUCUAACAGGAUUACGCAAGUUUGAUGUGAUUUUCAGUCGAUCGCGAUUGAAGAAACAUGUGAAGACAAUGUGAAUUACCAGAGUGAUGAACAUUUGGACACAAGCCUCAAGGAGCAACAUGUAAGACGCGAAAGUGCAACUCAAGAUCUCCAUAACUAGAAGUAAGAACACAUAUGUAAUCAUGUAGAUAGAUUUAUACACCUGAUUUGGAUCACCAUUCUUAAUGCGGAAUAGCAACAAUCUAAACUCAAGAACUGUGGUCCAAAUCAGGUAUGUAAAUUUGUCUACAUGAUUACAUAUGUGUUCUUAUUUCUAGUUAUGGAGAUCUUGGAUUGCACUUUCGCGUCUUACAUGUGGUAUCAGAGCAGCCAUAAUCUCGAAAUUGAACGCAUAGUUUUUUCAUGAUUUUUCGUGAUUUUUUGUUCAAUAAAAAUCAACUUUAAUUACAAAUUUAGAAUGGGCUUGUUGGGACAAGCAAAACCGCGGCUAAGGCAUCAAACACACACCCCAUGAUCGCUCAUGCACCCUCACAUGCUCUCACGCAUGAGGCGCUGCUUGUGUGUGCAUCGCACGCAUGAGAGCUGAUGUCAGCGACACGCAAGGCGCGACCCGACCCGACUCAUUGACUUAACCCGAUUAACAGUUGACUAACCCAUUGAUCCGACCUAGUCCGACCCGUUAACUGCUUGACCCGGUUCAUUUUUUACCAGACUAGUGGUCAGACCGGUCCAGCCGGCCAGCAUGUGUGUAGCACACUCCGAACACGCAUAUAGGCGCAUCUAGACUUUGAUUGGGGCAUUUUCGGAGUCUAUGUGCUCGUAUGGAAAUACUCUACACUCUAAUAUAUUUAUUUUUAUUUUUAAUAAUUUUAUGAAUGUAAAAAUACAUACAAAAUCCUAAAUACGCGUGUUUUUUGGGUUAUUUUAGGGUAUUUUUGCGUAUUUUCUUGUAUUUUUUUAUGUUUUUGGAAAUACAAGUGUUGGUUUAUAGGUAUAUCAUACAUAGAUAUUGUGUAGAGUGUGAUUCAUUUAUAAUAUAUAAAGUUUAAUUUGUGUUAAUGAAUAAAGUAAUAUAAUUAGCAUGAUAUGAAAUUUAAGUGAUAAAUUGCCAUUGUUACUAAAGUUAAAAUCACAUGUAUAUAGUGUAUGUGAAAAACAAAGUUUAUAUCCUCAGUAUAAGAGAGUUUCAAGGAUUUAAUUGAGUUGUGAUUGUCAAAGUGGCAUACUUGAUUGGGUUUUAGAAAUAUCGAUCUCAUAUAAUGAUGGAAUGUUUCCUGUUCUAAUGUGUUGUCAUACUUCCAAAUAAGGUAAUUAUAUAUUAGUUCAUGGAGAGAUGAGUGACAUGAUGGUGGACGAGUGAUCGAUCUAGUGGUUCAUAUACCUAAAGGUGAUGAAUUCACAAAAGUUGGAAUAUAUUCUCAUUGCUGCUAUCAUGUGGGGAGUGUAAAAGCUGCAUGUCAUGUAUUCUUCCCAAAUGUGAUUAUGUGAUAAUGUAUAUAGUUCUCUAGAUGUGUAUUUGUGUAUCUUCAAGUUACACAAUAGUCACAUGAUGCUAAUUACAUACAUUAUUUGUUAUUUUAGUCACCUUAUCAGUAAUUAAUAACUCCAUUAUUAUUAAGGUUUUUACUAGUUCAAACUUUACGUAGUGGAAAUAGGAUUUUUUUUGUUUGGGAAAAGAGUAGUUGGAUUUGAUUGUUUUCCAUAAAGUUUUCUAUUUAGGAACGCUUGAAAAAUAAUUUACUAACUAACUACACUGCUAAAAAAUGAUAGAAACCUUGGUAGCUUGAAAUUGUCUUUUCUAAUACCGAAAUUAUGAUACAUCUGCAAGAACUCUUUAACAUAAGGUAUGAUUGUUUGAUGAAACUAGGUAUUACGUUCCAAGGAUGAUAGAUUUGAGGUUUAAAAAUCAUACUCAUAAAAGAACUUAUGAAACCAUCAGUCAUUCUACAGUCUGAAUCCUACAAUAGAAUCCUUCAAGAAGAAUUAGUGGCUGUUACUUCUAUUUAAAAGAAAUGUCACACAAAGAUGGACUGUAAUAAGUAUACAAAAUUUGGUUGUCUGAGUGUGAGCUUGUAAUCAAUAAUUUUUUGGUAUUUUUUAUGAAUCAAUUACCUAUUAUAAGCCUAUUCAGUUCAUAGUGGCUAGAUAGUGGUGCAACAAGUUUGUUGUGUUUAUCCUACGGGAAUUCAUAAAUCUAAAGAAACCAAAUCAAGAUGAAUCAUAGCUCACCAUGAAAAAUAACAGUAAAGUCAACGUUGAAAAUAUCAUUUUAAUUCUAGAUUAUAUUUUUAAUAUGAUAUUAAGAAAUACAUUUUAUGUACUUUUCUUGACACGAGACUUAGUUUCCAUAUCUUAUUUAAACAUGUGUGGCUACUUUUUUUGAAAAAAAAAAUGUUUUUGUGUUCUUUAAUUCAAAUAAGGUUAAGUACUAUAUUAUAUCAAAUGAAUUUUAUAGAUUGCGUUUAACUCUCAAUGAUAUAUACGUCUCGUAUACGGUUGAAAAAUGUCGUUUCCAAAAGUUUUAUGCCUAAGGAAUAAUCUCGCACAUGUUUAAAGAAAGAGUAAAAAAGUUGAUAAAGUUGAUAUUUUGUCUAUUCUUAACAGUUACCUAAAGACUUCUGUAGAUUAUUGUAGAAGUAAGAUAAGUGAGAUAAAGUCUGAAUCUCUAAAUAAAUUCAAAAAAAAAAAAAAAUCGGACUAAAUUUGAAAAACGGUUAGAAUAAGUCUUAAAGGUUGUUAGACCUAACCGUGAUGGUGAGUAUUUUGCCAAGUAUAGCAAUACUGAAUAGCUUAAAGACUCAUUUAUCAGAUACUUGGUAGAUUCUGGAGUGAUAACUUAAUUUACUAUGCAUGAAAAUCCUGAACAAAAUUAUUUGGCCGAAAGGCAUAAUCGCACCAUAAUGAACAUGGUGAUGAGUAUUAUUAGUAAGACUAAUUUAUCCAGUCUUCUGUGAGUUGAUAUUUUGAAAGCAACAUUUUUACAUACAAAAACGUGUUUCUUAUUAAAAUUAUUCUAUUAACUCCUUUUGAGUUAUGAACUAGAUGUAAAUCUAACUUGAAUCAUAUUAAAAUUUAGGGGUGUCCAGUAGAAGUGAUGCUAUAUAAUUCAAUAUUAAGUACGUUGAAAUUCAGAUCCACUCAAAAUUAUUCCGUAUCUUAUCCAGAUUGUUCAAAGGGAUAUCGAUUUUAUGACUCUAAUAAAAGUACAAGAAUUAUGGAAUUACUAAAGAUAAAGUUUCUAGAGUUCGAUGUAACUGUAGAGAACAACUACUCUUAGACUAUUGAGGAUAAUAGUAUACUGGAGAUCAAUGUGUCUUUGUCUUUGCUUAUACAAACAAUUGUGGAAUCUCCUACACCACAAACUAAACUUGUUGAGGUUCAAGGUACUACCCUUGAGACAAUUUCUAGUGAAGUUUGUCAUGCCUCUUGAGUGUAGAAUGAAGUGGUUGUAGCUUUUCUCAGGAGAUGUGUUAGGGAAAGACGAUCGGUUAUACCACUAGAUUAUAUAAUCUAUUUGUGAGAGCAUGACUACGAUAUCUACUGCAUGGUUGAUCUAGUGACUUAUACAAAUGUUGUUUCUUGUCAUUAAUUAGGUAUGUGGUUAGGUGUCAUAAAAAACAAGAUGCAAUUUGUGAAAUAUUAUAGUGUUCGGGAAUUUAUUAACUUGUCUAAAGUUCAUGAGCUCAUUAGUUGCAAAUAGGUGUACAAAACGAAAAGGCAUUUCAAAGAAAUAUUAUGGAGUUUAAAGCUAAACUAGUAGCCAAAGUUUUCACUCUGAAAAAUAGGUGGACGGUGAAGAAAUAUUUUUUCUAAUUUCUUCGAAAGAUUUUUCCAGAGUGAACAUGACAUUAAUAACUUAGUUUGAUAUGAAGUUACGCCAAAUAGAAAUUAUCUUUCCAAAUGGACACAUUGAUAACGGAAUCUACAUAGUGUAACUAGAAGUUUUUGCAGCAAAUGAUUCAAGUAAACAAGUUUUCAAAUAAUAUUAUUAAAGUUUUAUAAUAUUGUCACUUCGUUCAGUUGAGAAUAAAGAAAUUCAGUAUAUAUAUAUUGCAAGGUCAAUGGGAGGAAAUUUAUUUUUCUCAUACUCUAUAUACAUGAUACUUUGCUUGCAAGCAAUGAUCUUGAAUUAUUGUAUGAGAUAAAAUAAAUAUUAUCAAAAAAAAAAAUUGAAAUGAAGGACCUUGAGGCAUCUUUUUGUCCUUUACAAGAUCCGCAAGGAUCGUUCUCGUCAUAUAUUGGAUUUAUCUUAGAGGACAUUUGCUUAUCGUAUUUUGGAAAUAUUCAAUAUACAUCACUACAAGCCAGGAAUUGCUCCUGUCAUUAAGGGUGAUGAACCGAAUCUGUUACAUUGUCCUUAUUUAGAUAUUGAGAAAAUCCAAUUAAAUGAUGUACCUUAUGUCAAUGCACUUGAAAGUAUCAUAUAUUAGUUAAAUCCUAGACAAGAUUAUUGAGUUACUACCAAUAAGUUUUUUGAGGUAUUUAAAAAAAAAAAAAAAAAGGACAAAAGGCUAUUUGUUGAUUUACAAACAUGUUCAAGUCCUGUAGCUAGAAGGGUAUUUGAAUGUAAACUUUACUGGUCAAAUCGACAACGAAAUAUGUAUUUAUGUUAGCAGGAAGUAUAGUAAAUAGAAAUAUGUCAUAUUUUACCAUGUAAGCGGGAUUUGUAGCAUGUUUUUAGGUUGCUACUCAGGCAAUUAGGCUAUGGAAACUCAUUAGGAAAUUGAUCGCAUUUAAAUUUAUGGAUAUAUCCAUACGGUUAUAUUGAGACAAUAACUCUGUAGUGUUAUUUAUUAACAACAGAGGUCCGAAGAUGUCUAAAUAUAUGGUGGUCAAAUUUUAUACUAUAAAAAAAGGUACAAAAUGGUAACAUUGUAAUAAAGCAUAUUUUCACAAAUGAUAUGGUUGUAGAUCCACUAACUAAAGGACUUCACUCUUCUGUUCUUGAAUGAAAUGUCAUUAAUAUAGGUUUAGGAAUAUCAUGAGAUGUCGUUGUUUAGUGGGAACCGUUUCGGUUUUUCUCUAAUAAAGUUUAAAUCUGUAUUUGUUAUACUUAGUAAAUGUUUGAUAUGUAUCAACUUUUGCAUUCAAUAAAAUAUUUUUGAAUAUGUCAUCAUUAUAUUGAAUACAUAUUGAUAAAAGUCUUAGGGUAUUAUAUAAAUCUUGAGUGAAUGUUAGGGGAAUCUGAUUAUUAGCCUCGGGCAUAUCUUGUUACACAUAAAGAAAUAUUAACCAUAAAAACAAAUAUAUGUGGAUUCACUGAAACCAUAAAGACAUUCUCUAGUGGCACUGGUUUUUUUGACACUUAAGAUAAGAGAGUGAUGACUGACAAAUAGAAUCUAUCUAUGAGAGUUGUUAUUCAUUUGUCGCACUAUCAUAUUGAAUUUAUAUCAAUAAAGUCAAAAUCACUCGUGACCAUGGAAAGCUUUGUGUGUAUACAUGCAGUUAUUGCCAUGAUUCAGUAUUUGAGAUUUUAUGAGAUAGGAUUGACUAUUAAGAAUUAUCUCUAGAUCAAAGUGUGCACAUACAGUACAAUUUCAAUUAAUAUAUUCUGAGUGGGAGAAUGUAAGAGUUUUUCCAGUGUGAGCUACAUUAAUUAAUAUUGUAAUUUACCGUUUUACGAGGUGGGUCUAAGGUAAGAUAUAAGAUUUCUUAAUAGUCUAAUAUGAGGCUGGCUAGUCUGCAUUAAGUUAAAUCUCACCCAUAAUGAGAGAGCCUGAUUAGGAACUCUAUAAAUAGUGCUCAAUGAGAUGGCCCUCUCACCUUUUAAUGUUAGGUAAAUGCUCAUUUGUGAUGAUAAUUGUGAAAAUUAUGAUUAAAGGAUAAACUUGAGUAUUAUUUAUAGAGUUUCUAACUAAGCCCUUUCAUUAUGGGUUAGGUUCAACCCGGCUCACGUUAGUCAGCCUCAUAUUAGACUAAUUAAGAAAUAUUCUAUCUCACCUUAAACUAAUCUCAUAAAAUGGUAAAUUACAAUAUCCACACUAGGAAAACUCUUACAAAACACCCUUUGGCCAGCCUUGUACACCAAGUAGAUCGACACUAACGUGCUGAAAACGUUCACGAGCUCAGUGAUGACCGUCGAGAGCAGCACGGCAUUGUUAAACCCGACUGUUUGGAACAGGACGGGUGCUUAGAACAUGAUGGCAUUGAUCCCGGUGAACUGCUGGAACACUUGCAACAACAUGGCUAUGACAAAAGGGGGCCUGCUCGACAGCCUCAUGAGCUUGUGGAACGGAUGCUUCACUCAUCUUGCGGCUUCACUGGCGGCAACAAUUGAAUUGAACUCGGCGUCAACGUUAUCGGUGCCGCAGAUCCUCCUUAGGGUGGCCUUCCCUUGGUCGACCCAGUUGUGCUUGAUGAGGAUGGUUGGGGUCUCACAGAUGAUGAAUGAGCCCAUGAGGAGGAUCACAGCCGGGAUGCUGGCCAAGCCGACUGAGAUCCACCACCCAUAAAGGUGAAUGUUGGAUGUGAAGUAGUUGAUGAUGCCCGCGAUGAGGAUUCCGAUUGUAAUGAAGAGUUGGAAGCAGAUGUUGAGAGCUCCUGUGAUUCUGGCAGGAGCUAAUUCGGAUAGAAACAGAGGCACAGCCUGAUUAGCGAACCCGGCACCGCAACUGAGGAUGAUUCUGCCGAAGACAACCAUCGCAAGGUUGACGCCACCAGUUUAGAAUCCGAUCCCUGCAAUGAACAAGAAGGACCCGAUCUGCAACGUCGUCCUUCGGCCGAAUUUGGAGCACACCUUCGAGGCUACAAAGCUGGCUACGAGAGCAGCUAUGUACAGCGAAGAUGUGAACAGCUGGAAGGACUCGUUGUCGUAUUUACAGUACUCGUGCGCGCGCUUCUUUUUCUCGUACACGGUCAUGAAGAAUUUCUUCAAGAAGUCAUCCAUGGCAGUCGCUCCUCCUGACAUUCAAUAAAAUCCACAUAAGCAUUUGGAAAAGUGGGUAAUUUUACAGUGAGUAAUAUAUUUUGUACUUGGAAUUUAUAAACUAGCCACUGACAAGUCGAAAUUGACUAAUAUACUAUCCUAUACCAGAGGCAAAAAUGUGAUAUGAUCUUUUCUCUCCUGGAACAAAAAAAAAUUCUGUCUGGGCUCUUUCCAUCGUAUCAAUCUGACGAAAAAUUUCCAUUUCUCCUACCUGAAAUUCUAUUGUCGUAUCCGAACAACAUCCCUCCGAAGGCCGCGAGGAUCACGCACACGAUGACGUAGAAAAUUAUUUCCCGUCAUGCUUGGGCACUUGGCCGCCAUGGCUCACGACAACAGCCGGCAUUCUCUCUAGCCUCUUUUUUUUUUUUUGGGUGAAAAGAAAACAAAGGGGAGAGAAGAAGCUUAAUCAAAACGUAUUUGGACAGAAAAAAGAUGACCAGAGUGAAGAAGAGCCUCAGAUUUUGUCGGAAUACGAAAUCUUUGCGUGCAUCGCAUGGGGUAUUUAUAACACGUCAAGAAGGCUGGGAAAGGCUAAGUGAAGAUUAAAUGACAGCUAAUGGCGAUCUAAUAAUGACGUGGUUUUGCUCUUGAUUAGACAAUCAUCCCUUAAGUGUCGGGCUUUUUGAUUCGGCCUCGACAAAUUGAACAGAUUCUGCUGGUUAGUACCCAGGAGAGACUUUAGGCCCUAUUUGGUAAAAAAUGGUUCUGUUCCCAGGAACAAAAAAAGAAUAUAAACGUAUUUGGUAAAACUUUAUUUUUCGGAACAAAAAAAUAGGCCAUGUUUGGUAAAAAGAUGUUUCUAUUUUCCGGAACAAAAUUUUUUAUUCUUUUGUUUCGGGGAACAAAAAAAUAACAGAAACGUAUUUGGUAAAAAAUUUGUUCCCGGGAAUAAAAAAACAAUUUUUUUGUUUCCGAGAAUAGAUUUGGAACAAAAAAAAAAAGUAGAAAAAAAAAGUUAUUUCUUGUUCCGGAAAACAAUUUCUAGAAACACUUCUUUUUUCUUUCCUUUUUCUUCCUUUUGGCCGAUUGCCGGCCUUGGCCAUGGCCAACGAGGGCCGACGACCUUGUCGGAGCGUUGCCAACUGACGCGAGGCUCGGCCUCGCCCUAGCCUGGUGAGGCCGAGCCUCACACCAGCCGAAGAGGCUUGACCUCGCCGGGGGCCGGCAACGCCCCGGCGAGGUCGCUAGCCAUGACUAAGGCUAGUGACCGGCCAAAAGGAAGAAAUAAGGAAAAAAAAAGGAAAAAUAUAAUUAAAAAUAUUGAAAAAUUAAAAGAAAUAACAAAAUUAUACAAGUUUACCAAACACAUUUCUAUUCAUGUAAUAUAAAAUUUUUGCAUUUACCAAGCGCAUUCUUAUGCUUAGAAAUUGUUCCCAUAAACAAAAAUAGAAAAAACUAUUUCUAUUUAAAAAUUGUUCCCCGAAACAGAAACGUUACCAAACGCGCCCUUAACCAUCACGGAAGAGGUUGGGGACGUUCAAUGAAAUGCUAAAAAGAGAAAUUAAUUGUUCAUGGGAAUGGAAGGUUUUAUCGCUUCAGACUAAAUCAAGAUGAGUGCGCAUUCAUUUUUGGUUAGAAUUUUCCUGAAAGAGUUCAUUGUCUAAUUUAAGUGCAAACUUGACGUGGAAAUACAAACAGAAGACCAAAUACCAUAAAGAAACACAAAUUAUGUCUGCUAUGAUACGACUACCCCAAACUUUUUUUUAAGUCACAAAAAACCCUAAAUUUGUCCACUGUACAUAAUUACCCCAAACUUUUUUUGUAUCAAAAAGAAACCCAAACUUAUACAUGCAUGACAUACAUGCUCUCUAUUUUAGUUCUAUCUAGGACAUUUUUGUCAUAUCAAUAUAAGUUCGGAGUUCUAUAUAAUACAAAAAAAAAAAAAAUCAGUAUAUUUAGGUCAUAAUGAACAAGUUUAGGGUCUUUAGUGACAAAAAAAGAAUUGAUAUGAAAGUUACUAUAACGACAGUGAAACAAAGACCGGUAAAUUGUUACAAAAGUUAAUAACUUCACAUUUAUAUGUGCAUCAAACAUAAAAAUAAAUAAGUUAAAUAUAGUCAAUAACACAAAAAGUUGGUAAGCAACUUAAAUAAGGAUGGUGAUUUGAUAUGAAAGUUGGUAAUUUAAAAAUGUCAAUCGGGUAGGCAAACUUUUACAAAAAGCUAUUCAUUUUAAAACGACAAAUAAAUGGUGGUAAAUUAUUCAAAUAAGAGUUGAUAACCUAACCUAAAACUAUCAAGUAAUUAAAUCAAGAAAAUAUCAUUAGAUAACUCAACUAAGGUUGGUAAUUUGACAUAAGAGUUGGUAAUGUAAAACAUCAAUAUGCCACAAAAAUAAAAGUUGGUAAGUUUUCACAACAAUGGCGAAUUGAAAUGACCAAAUAAAUAUUAUUAAAUAAUCCAAAUAGGAGUUGAUAAUUUAGAAUUAGUUUAUUUCUUUAUGGGACAAAAGUUUGUAAAUAACUCAAGUUAAGAUUAGUAAUUUAAUAUAUUAAUUGCUAACUUUAAUCGGUCAGCUCUAAAAAUAAUCACCUACCCAAAAACUAAUUGCUAACUUAGCCGAAAUAAAGUUGGUGUGUAAGUUAAAUAAGACUGGUGAUUUCAUAGAAGAAUUAGAAAUUUUAAUAGUUGUCAAGCUAUGUAAAUAAAAGUCACUAAUUAAUUUGUAUAAAUAAUAAUUUCGAGACAACCGAACUAACAGUGAUAAUUUUAUAAGAGAGUCAAUAACUUACAAGUCACCAGACAAUACAACUUUUUAACCAAAGGUAUAGCUUUUAUAAAUUUACCAGCACAAAGAAAAAUUACCUUAUUUUUUCCACCGAAAUGCCAUUAGGGUCCGGUAGAUGGUAAGUAGGAAAUCCUAAGUUUAAACGUCUCCCCGCUUUUGACCUAAAAUUAGAGCUUAUCCGAAUAGUGGACAAGCAUCCUCGUUUCAGCGGUUAAUUAAGUACAGUGCACAACCUAGGGACUCGCGUUUCUCUCAACAUCAUUUAAGCAUUGCAUACGCCAAUAGCUUUGUUCCGAAAUGACAUUACGCAUGAAGACGAAAGCAAGCAUCCUCUAAACUCAACGAACAUCUCGUGAACAUUAAUGACCUUUUGCCACAACGCACCACCUUCUCUUGAUCAAUUUUUGGCAAAGAGAACGAUCCAGCCCGUUUUGCAGCAUGAUAUCGUGAAUCAGUCGAAACUACCAUGUAUUAAACAUAGCGCAAUCUCCAAACAUCUCACGCGAUCAAUAAUCUCUUUCGAGUGCAAAGAUAACCACUUAACUCUACGAAUUUCGCAUGCCAAUAAAGAAUCUGGAAUCGUUGCAAAUGAUGCCAAACACGGGUUGGAAUCCAGACAGGUCUCCACUCUUUCUUUGUUUUAUUUCUGAUCUACCUUUUCCCAGAAUAAUAUUUUCAUUUACAAAAAAUAUAUGAAUAAUCCUAAUUCUAUCGGGCGGCAUGACUUUAUCCCUUCAGUUACCAGAUGUCAUUUCCUGUCCCUCUCUUUCUUUGGAUUGAACUCUUAUAAUCUAGCUCAUGAUACAUUAGGAAAGAACAGCUAUCUGACCACACGUGGAAUCAGAUUCCACUGCUGGAAGCAUCUAGCCAAAUGCUUAUAGAAAGACGGAGUCGAUGAUCCUCCUCAAUAGAAAGCCAAUAACCGACGAGCCAAAAUUGGAGCGGCUGACCUUUAAUGUCAUGAAGAUGCAGGUUAUACUAACUACUUUUCAGGGCCAGAAGCAGAAAGAAUUCUGCUUCGCUUCAGUGGAGAUACAUCAUUCCUGUUAGCUUGAUGUACGAUUUUGGACCAGGAGAUCAUUCAGAAGUGGAUCCUCCAUAUCCGCAGUCCCAUUGACUCUUCUAUCAGGGCGUCGACCUCUGCAGAGACAUCCAAAACAAAGAAAUCAAUUAGUAUAAUAAAUGCAGAAUUUUCUGAGCUUGGAAUAUAGAGGGUAGAUGAAGAAAUUAACUUUUUGAAGCACUUGCAGCGAAGACAUGCUUGACAUGAUGUACAACAAUAGCACUCUGUUGCGCUAAGACUACUCCAAGAAAAUAACUGCUUGAUAAGUAUAACGAAACCCAAACCAAAAAGAUACUUUUCUUACCAAAGAAAAUCAGAGUACCAUGAUGCAAUUUAAACAGAGAUGAUGAAGAAUAUAGCCCAAAUCUUGAGGGGAGGCCCCAUUUGCCUAGAACAAAACUCUUUAGCUUAAGGUUUUUCCAGGAUUAAUUUUGCUCUUGCAUACAAGAAACUGUCGCACACAUUUUUCCAUCUGAAACAGAUUUUCUCCAAAAAUUCCCUGGUCAUUGUAUGGUAGCAAGAUGGAGCCAUUAUUAGUGUAGUUGGUCUCACAUUUGAUCCAGCACUCCACCUUUACAAUGGAGGAGUACCAUGUAGCGAAAGAUCUGGCUCUUAUUUCUGUACCAAGUGAUGAUACAUUUGGAUACUUUCUAUCAGGGAAAAAAGUGAGUUCUGAUCACCCAGUUGAUCGAUUCUGUGGUUUUCUGAUCAGGAUAGUACCAUAGAUUGUGUGGUCAGGUCAUCGUAGCCUAUGAAAACUGUUAACUUGUAGUAUCACAAAGGUAAAUAGGCAGCAAGUGGACCCGAGCAGUUCCAGAAAAAUGACAUUCUUAUUAAAAAAAAAAAA
rnacentral:lncRNA from 1 species